AGAUGUGAGGGUGAUCUGGCUGCGAUAUCUGUUAACCCAUUGAUCGCCAGGGUGAUUCCGCUGAUCUGGCUGGCUAAAUGGAUGUCCCCUUUCUCUCACAUCUGCUCCAUGUGCAUCCCUCCUGAAGAUGCCCACUUGGGUCAAAGAGGACAGCCUUCCCCAAUAGAGGAGGAGCAGUCUUUGGUCAAGGAGGUUCUAGCGCUCCCCUGCUAGAACCUCCAAACAAGCUCUCAAGAGCCCAGCAUUUCUGUAUGGACCAUGUACACUAUUUUUGAACUGUAUUAAGUAUGGUAAUACUGACAUCCUUUGUCACAUCAGUUAGCUAGGAGACUAUUC
rfam:Mesocricetus auratus contig047548, whole genome shotgun sequence.